rnacentral:rRNA from 1 species
UACGUAGGGUGCGAGCGUUAAUCGGAAUUACUGGGCGUAAAGCGUGCGCAGGCGGUUUUGUAAGCCAGAUGUGAAAUCCCCGGGCUUAACCUGGGAAGUGGCAUUUGGGGACUGCAAGGCUCGAGUGCGGCAGAGGAGACUGGAAUUCCUGGUGUAGCAGUGAAAUGCGUAGAUAUCAGGAGGAACACCGAUGGCGAAGGCAGGUCUCUGGGCUGACACUGACGCUCAUGCACGAAAGCGUGGGGAGCAAACAGG